UACGGAGGGUGCGAGCGUUGUUCGGAAUCACUGGGCGUAAAGCGCGUGUAGGCGGCUUCUUAAGUCUGGUGUGAAAGCCCGGGGCUUACCCCCGGAAGGGCACUGGAAACUGGGGAGCUGGAGUACCGGAGAGGAGGGUGGAAUUCCUGGUGUAGCGGUGAAAUGCGUAGAUAUCAGGAGGAACACCGGUGGCGAAGGCGGCCCUCUGGACGGAUACUGACGCUGAGACGCGAAAGCGUGGGGAGCAAACAGG
rnacentral:rRNA from 1 species